GAUGAAGAACGUAGCGAAAUGCGAUAAGUAAUGUGAAUUGCAGAAUUCAGUGAAUCAUCGAAUCUUUGAACGCACAUUGCGCCCGCCAGUAUUCUGGCGGGCAUGCCUGUUCGAGCGUCAUUUCAACCAUCAAGACCCCGGCUUGUGUUGGGGACCUGCGGCUGCCGCAGGCCCUGAAAACCAGUGGCGGGCUCGCUAGUCACUCCGAGCGUAGUAAUACAUCUCGCUCAGGGCGUGCUGCGGGUUCCGGCCGUUAAAAAGCCUUAUUUACCCAAGGUUGACCUCGGAUCAGGUAGGAAGACCCGCUGAACUUAAGCAUAUCAAUAAGCGGAGGA
rnacentral:misc_RNA from 1 species